rnacentral:rRNA from 1 species
AUCAACGCUGGCGGCGGUUGCUAACAACAUGCAAGUCGAACGAGAAAGUGGAGCAAUCCAUGAGUACAGUGGCGACCGGGUGAGUAACACGUGACUAACCUGCCCUCGAGUGGGGAAUAACUCCGGGAAACCGGAGCUAAUACCGCAUAACAUCGCAAGAUCAAAGCCGAAAGGCGCUUUGAGGAGGGGGGUCGCGGCUGAUUAGCUAGUUGGUAGGGUAAUGGCUUACCAAGGCAAAGAUCGGUAUCCGGCCUGAGAGGGCGCACGGACACACUGGAACUGAAACACGGUCCAGACUCCUACGGGAGGCAGCAGUGGGGAAUUUUGCGCAAUGGGGGAAACCCUGACGCAGCAACGCCGCGUGGAGGAUGAAGUCCCUUGGGACGUAAACUCCUUUCGACCCGGACAUCCUGACGGUACGGUGGGAAGAAGCACCGGCUAACUCUGUGCCAGCAGCCGCGGUAAUACAGAGGUGCGAGCGUUGUUCGGAAUUAUUGAGGCGUAAAGGGCGCGUAGGCGGUGCGGGUAUAGUCACCUGUGAAAUCUCCGGCUCAACUGGGAGCUUGCGGCGAAACUGCCGUGCUGGAGUGUGGGGAGAGGUGCGUGGAAUUCCCGGUGUAGCGGUGAAAUGCGUAAGAUAUCGGGAGGAACACCUGUGGCGAAAGCGGCGCACUGGACCAACAACUGACGCUGAGGCGCGAAGCUAGGGGAGCAAACAGGAUUAGAUACCCUGGUAGUCCUAGCCCUAAACUAUGAUGCUUGCUGUGAUGGGUACCCAAUCCCAUCGUGGCGCAGCUAACGCGAUAAGCAUCCGCCUGGGGAGUACGGUCGCAAGGCUGCGUGAAGUGAACUCAAAGGAAAUUGACGGGGGCCCGCACAAGCCGGUGGAGCAUUGUGGUUCAAUUCGACGCAACGCGAAGAACCUUCCUGGGCUCGAAAUGGAGUGGAAUCCGGUGGAAACAUCGGCGCCCGCAAGGGCCGCUCGAUAGGUGCUGACAUGGCUGUCGUCAGCUCGUGUCGUGAGAUGUUGGGUUAAGUCCCGCAACGAGCUGCAACCCUAUCGUUAGUUGCCAUCGGGGUCAAGCCGGGCACUCUAGCGUAAACCGCCUCGGAUAACGGGGAGGAAGGUGGGGAUGACGUCAAGUCCUCAUGGCCUUUAUGUCCAGGGCUACACACGUGCUACAAUGCACGGUACAAACCGUCCGCAAACCCGCGAGGGGGUGCUAAUCGGAAAAAGCCGUGCUCAGUUCGGAUGGAGUCUGCAACCCGACUCCAUGAAGCUGGAAUCGCUAGUAAUCGCAGAUCAGAACGCUGCGGUGAAUACGUUCCCGGGCCUUGUACACACCGCCCGUCACAUCACGAAAGUGGACCAUACUAGAAGCAGGUGGGCCAACCGCAAGGGGGCAGCCUUCCAAGGUAUAGUUCAUGAUUGGGGUG